GAGUUGUUUUUCAGAAACCUGGAUCCCCACCAAAUGGAUCUGCUGGCACCUAGACUUCAGCCAUCUAGGAGUUGGGGUUUUAAGUGUGACCGCCCAAUUCGCCUUACUUGCUGCCCUGCAAAUAAAUGCCUUCCUUUCAUCUGCUGCAAACCUUGGUGUGGACGUUUUGGCCUUACUCUGCCAGGCUAUACAGGAGGCAUGGCACCAGCAUCUGCUCAGCUUCUGGGGAGCCCUCAGGAAGCUUCCAAUCAUGGUGGAAGGUGAAGAGGGAGCUGUCAUCUCACAUCGUGAGAGCAGGAACAAGAGUCUGAGGGACUUCUACACUGCUGGUGUGAAUGUAAACUAGUACAACCACUACGGAAAACAGUGUGGAGAAAAGUAGAACUACAAUUUGAUCCAGCAAUCCCACUACUGGGCAUCUACCCAGAGGAAAAGAAGUCAUUAUAUGAAAAAGAUACUUGCACAUGCAUGUUUAUAGCAGCGCAAUUUUCAAUUGCAAAAACGUGGAACCAACCCAAAUGCCCACCGAUUAACAAGUGGAUAAAGAAACUGUGGUGUAUAUAUGAUAGAAUACUACUCAGCCAUAAAUGGAAUGAAUUAAUGGCAUUUACAGUGACCUGGAUGAGACUGGAGACUAUUAUUCUAAGUGAAGUAACUCAGGGAUGGAAAACCAAACAUCAUAUUCUUUCACUCCUAUGAGGAUGCAAAGGUAUAGGAAUGACACAAUAGACUUUGGGGACUCAGGGGAAAGGUGGGAAGGGGGUGAGGGAUAAAAGACUACAAAUUGGGUGCAGUAUGUACUGCUUGGGUGAUGGGUGCACCAAAAUCUCACAAGUCACCACCAAAGAACUUACUCAUGUAAUCAAAUACCAUCUGCUCCCCAAUAACGUACGGAAAUAAAAAAAAUUAAAAAAAAGAGUCUGAAGGGGAAGAUGCCACACACUCUUAAACAGCCAGAUCUUGCAAUAACUCACUCACUAUUGCAAGGAUAGCAUGAAGAGGACGGCGCUAAACCAUUCUUGAGAAAUCCACCUCCAUGAUACAAUCACCUCCCACCACGGCCCACCUCCAACACUGGGGAUUACAAUUUAACGUGAGACGUAGAGAGGACAACAUCCAAACUAUAUCAAUAGUAUUUGUUGCAUUUUUUUGCAUUUCCUAAUAAAAACUUAAAUAUGUGAGCUAUCCAAACAAACAUAUCCAAAUGGGCCCCAAUAUUUAUAACUUAUAAUAUGGUAGUGACUCAUGAGGAAGAAAUGAUAGGGGCAGGAGGGCAUUUGAGAAGGCAACAGUGUACAGGGCUCUGCAGGAGGCCCUGAGGUCACACAGUACACUGGAAAAGACUCCAGACUCCCUGGGAUGGAGGCUGCAGGGAUGGGGAAGAAAAGUGGAUCCAGGAGGCCUGGGUUCUAGUCUUCCUCCACAGCUAAAAACUUAGUGCUCUGGACAAGCCCUUCAUCUCCCUGGGCCUCAGGUGUCUCAUCUAUAAAAUGAGCAUGCUUGGACCUUAUCUGGAAGAAAUGCUUUCCUGAUGUUCUUUCCAGGGCUUGCCAUGCUUAUUUCUUGCACUCUAGGAUUAAGGACAAGUAUUUUCAGUUCUCCCUACUACUGGCUGGCUGUGUGAGCCAUUUCUCUGCAAACAGGAGUAUUCUUGCUGUUCCUCUGGUCAAUCCAGAAGCUCAUGGGAAAGUGCUCUGCAAUCUUGAACAGGAAGCAAGGAAUGUGUCAUCCCUACUAAGAUCACCUUUCCUCUUCUCCUGUUCUCAGAGAUCCCCAGAAGCACCCCUGGGUCAACAGCCACCUUUGCCGGUAUUGACUGGGAAGAGUCCCCAAGAGUGGUAUUGGGUCCAGGCAGUUGUAGCACAUGAACCCUUGUGAGUGGAGGUUGACCUUCAGGAUGGUGGUGCUCACCCCGCUGAAGGAUUCUGGGCAAACUAAGCAAAGGGUUAGUUUACAAUUUUCCCUCCUGGUUUUUUUUUUUUUUUUUCCCUUGGAGGCUUAAAGAAGAACAAAUUCUUAUCCGCAGUAUCCUGUUCCCAGACUCCCAUCUUCUUGCCUCCCCAUGGGUCCUUAGCCUCCCUUAAAUCCUUUAGAAAAGAGCUGGCUCCCAGAAGAUACGGGGAGAACUGCAAUUUGCCCUUUUCCAAAGCCUAUCAUUCAUUCUGGGUCUUUUUCUCAUCCCCUCGCUUCCAGUUCUAAUUUGGUGCCUGGGGCCGCUCUCUUCUUGAAUGAUUAGAACCAGAGGGCAAUCAAAAAGAAACGAACUUAAUGCAGAGGAGAGAGGGGAGCCAGCAGCUUUGGGGACAUUUCUCUUCCCUCAAGGGAUGAGGUAGAUUUUCCUAAAUCUAUAAUUAACAAGAUGAAAAAAGACACUUCAAGAAUUCAUAACUCUCGGAAAAUACUCCAGUUUGGGAAACACUGGUCUGGAACUUGUGGUGAGUCAGCUCUUGAUUCGUGAAGACAGAGAUGCACAGUUACCACAUUGAGAAGAUAGUAGAUGAUGUAAACCCAUUGGAGAAAUGGAAACUUUCCCAUGGGAAAGGCUGCAUGGGUGGAGGAAGCAGUCCUCUGGUGGAAUAGAAUGAUAACAUACCAUUCAUCACAGCCCCAGGUAUUGUGCUAAGUGCUUCACAUUUAACUCAUACAACCACCCAUGAAGUAGGUCCAAUUAUUAGCCCCAUUUUGCAGGUGAAGAAAUAGAACCAUGCAAAUCUAUGCAGUUUUCCUAAGACCCUACAGCCAGUUAAAGCCACCGAAGCAACAAAUGCUGACAUCUAGAAGAAUGUGUGAAUAGGUGGCUGGAGUCAACAAACGCCUAAUUAAUCAAUUGGUGUCAUCUUAUACACCCAUCCCUCCAAAAGUUGCUAUUAUUUACUUUCCCUGGCCCCAGAAAAAGGGAGACCCCAGGACAGUGUCCUGGACUGGAAUUAGGACUGCUCCAUUCUAUAAACAGGUCAGCCCCUCAUUCUGUGUGUGACCUUGAGUGAGUGAGACCCUUCCUGAUCCUAGGUCUUGGUCUCUACAUCUGUCAGAGGAGGUAGUGAGACCAGCUGGCUUCGAAAGUUCAACCCAGUCCCACCGUUCCAGUACAUGCCAGUCUACCUGACUCCAUGGGGGAGGUUUUGGGGGUGGGGUGGAUCUUCACGUUGCAGCUGCUGUUUAUGACUUUUCCAAGGCCCCUCCUGCCUGGGCUCCUCGCCCCCGUGCUUGGCAUGCUUGGCUCUGUCUUGCAGCGAAGCGAGCUGUGUAGGAGUUUCUAGCUGCCUGUCUCUUUUGGGUUCUCCCUUUUGGGAUGUCUUUUCACACCUCCAAGUGCUGGGUGGGAGUGGACGAAUGCCACAUGUUUGGCUCUGAUGCCUUCCUUUCCCCUCUGUGGGAUGCUUCCAGCCCAAGAUCUGAGCAUGGAUGCCUCUGUGCUGACCCUUUGUGAGGCUGCUGGGUCAUGUCUGCAGAGCAGCAACCCAUCACCACAGCACUCUUCCUUACUCCCGGAAGGCCAGCAGAAGCUGCUCCUUUGCUGGAGCUUGUCCCCACCCAAUGGAGGGGGCUGAUUAAUUAUGUAGCCUCAGGCAAGUCACAUCUCCUCAUUGGGCCUCAGUUUUUACAUUUGUAAAAUGAAAGGAUUAGACCAGACAGGCCCCUAGGAUACUCCCAACUCUAAUGUUGUGCAGUUUAUUUCAUUUCUGUUUGUUUCAUGUCAUUCCCAGUGCCCUCAUAUCCUUCGUGUCUUGUAGACAUCAUAUCUGCCAGCUGAGAUUUUUAGCUGCUUCAAACACCCCACUGGAGGGACAUAUCUCAGCAUGCUAAGAUGAAUAUUUUGUUGGAAUAACUUGCUAUUAAAA
rnacentral:lncRNA from 10 species